AAAUCUAGCUUUCAAUACUUUUAGCCACAUGUCCUUAAAAUCCACAGUUAAAAUCCAACAUAAUUAGGAUUCAGGAGACAUAAAAUCAAAAGAUAUAGACCGAGAUCUUAAAGAACUGGUUAUUUAAUAUUUUAGCAAUGCAAAAUCAAAAAGUGAUAACAAAGAUUAAAGAAAACCCUUAUUUCAAUAUUUUUAGCUAGGAUUCAAAAGCAUUUAAAUCAAUAAAUGUAUUUGGUAAGUUGAGAAAACCAAUCUUUUUAGCCCUAUAAGCACACUUAGAAACCGUACCAUCAACUAUUCAAGAAAACCCAUUAUUUAAUAGUAACAUAUUGCUUAUUUGGUCCAUAAAAUUUCCUGCAUAAUCAGAAUCUAGAGACAUAUAAGAUCAAAGAUUGUAGAUAGAGAUCUAAUAAAAGGCUAAUCUUAGCGCAAAUAUAUCUCCACUAAUUGAUGGCUUAGAUAAGUAGUAGUAUAUAAGAUUAAGAUCCAAGAAUUAUUUUACAAACCUUUAGCUUGAUGGGACAUAAAGAGACUCUAAAAAGCCAAGCAUCCAAUAAUAGUUCAAGUUCACAAAAAAGAUAUCAACGAAUCAAUUUAUUAAUAAAAUCUUAAAGUGUCAUUUGAAAUAUAGUUAAAUUGAUAAAGAAAACAAAUCAUCCGAAGAGAAGAAAUAGAAUAUUGAACCCUAAAUUGCAUCACAAUAUGACGGUAAGGACGAAAGCUAAACCCCAAAGAAAAACGAUAUUGCCGAACGAUUGCCAAAACUAGUCAGACUCUUUCCCUAUGAGAUUACUAAUCAAUAGAACAUGAAAUCAUCAAACUGAUACUUUCAAGAUGAAACACUAACUUUCCAUCAAUCGAUCCAAUUGAACCCUAACUUCCAUCACAAUAUACGAGAACUGAAAAUGCAGUUAAGAAGGCAAGAACAAAACCUAAACCCCAAAGAAAAAUGAUGUUGCCCAACGAUUGCCAAAAUCAAUUAGAUUGAAUCAAAAGGGGAGUUGUAUCUGUAGAUGGUAUACAUCAUAAAUAAUGAGAGAACGACUAAAAUUUAUUUUAAUCAAUGGAG
rnacentral:lncRNA from 1 species